AAACCUCGGCUCGCUCCCGCCCUCCUCUUCCUCCGCGGCCUGGGCUCCUCGCCCCGCGACCCGUCAAGCCCUUCCGGUUGCUGCUUUCCUCGCUCGCGAAUCCGGCCACUCCCGUUCCACUUUAGGGGUAAUCGUGCUCCGGAGCCUGCGUGAGGCGAGCCCCGGGGCCUCCGGGCUGCGCAGGGUGGGAGCCACCUUCGGGAAGAGAACCGUGGGGCGCGAGGGACGCCAUCUCGGACUAAAUGCGGAGCGGCGGGAGCUGCGCGUGCGCCCAGAGGCGCUACGGCGGCGGGGGCGGGGUGCCCUCCGCGAGGCGGCCGUGUCCCCCGCCCCUCGGGCUCCGUGCGGGGGUCGGAAAGCCCCUAAUUGGGCGGCCCGGACGGUGGUCGCGGAGCCUCGGCGGGCCGCGACGGAAGUCACACUCGGCGGGCCGGGAGAACCCAGAACCGCGGCUGGUGCUGCCACCCAGCAGCGCCGACCGCGCGCCUGUGGCAUUGGCCAUGGCACGUAAGUGCCCGGCCGCACGGAGCCUUCCUACGGCGACUCCUGUGUCCCUCCUAGUUCUUCCUCUCCGUGGAAGGAAAUUCUUUCCAGAGUACGGGAGUACAGAAAAUGAGCGGUGUAGUGAGUGAGGUUGCUAUAAAUUAUUUGCGAUUCACGGGGAGGAAACUUAUCAGUGACAAUCUUUUCUUGGUGGCAGUCCACUGCCUUUUUAUUUCCUGGAACAUGGGUUUAACAGAAAGAAUUGCUACGUAAGCAGGCUAGAGAGGUAAAACACAUAAGGAUUAAAAAAAAAAAUUGAAAAGACUACUCGGUAUCCAAAAGGUUACAUUAAUCCUAAAUAGUGUAAUACGGAAAGAGACCUUGAAAUCAUAGCUGAAAAGAUUUUUUAAACUAACAGUGUCGGCUUGUCAGAUCCACUUGUCAAAUGUUAAGUUGAUUAUUAUGGCAACUAGUAAAACCCUGCUUAACGCCCACAGAAGCUGUCAGUAACUAAGAAAAAAGGUUGUUGGUGCCUGAAGUGACUGGAGGGCUAGAGGGAUAGGUCAUUUGUAACAUUUUUUAGCACAAAUUAAACACAAAAAAAAGUUAAAAUGCCCUUAAUGGGGGUAGUCAGAUCUCUCCUAUAAGGGUCCUUUGGUCCAGUCCCAAACACUAAGUUGGAAGAGGGGAAAAAAAUAUUACGUCUUGCACGGAAAUUCUAAAGACUGGCACCAUUAUUCUUAUUCCCUUGUGGUGAGGUAACACAGGGCUGAGCUAAAGGAGGAAAUGUUCAAGAUGUAGGAGUGAUACUCAAUAUUGUGUUUGCAAACUUACACAGUAAAAUUCAUUUGUCACCCCCACAUCAGCAUGCACCCAAUGUACACAGAUGUGAGAAUGACAUACCUGACAACAAUGUCUGCCUCAUUAGUUGAUGUCUCAUACUGUAAACUGCCCCUUAAACAAUAUAUGUAGUGCCAUGGUUUUCUCA